rnacentral:rRNA from 1 species
GUUUACCAAAAACAUGGCUUCUUGUAAUUCAAUAAAAUAAGGAGUCGGACCUGCCCAGUGAAGUUUUUUAACGGCCGCGGUACUCUGACCGUGCAAAGGUAGCAUAAUCAUUUGCCUUAUAAUUGGAGGCUAGUAUGAAUGGUUUGACAAGAAUAUAGCUGUCUCUUUUUGAUUUAUUAGAACUUUAUUUUAAGGUGAAGAAGCCUUAAUUUAAUUAAAAGACAAGAAGACCCUGUCGAGCUUUAAAAAAGUCAAUAGAAAUUACCUUAAUUAAACUAAAAAAUCAUCUAUUAAAAAUUUUGGUUGGGGCGACUAAGGAACAAAAAGAGCUUCCUUUUGCACAAUAAAAUCUAUAAAUUUUGAUCCAAAAAUUUUUGAUUAAAAGAAUUAGUUACCGCAGGGAUAACAGCAUUAUCUUUUUUGAGAGCUCUUAUCGAAAAAAAGGUUUGUGACCUCGAUGUUGGACCAGAAUAUCCUAAAGAUGUAGAAGUCUUUAAGGGUUGGUCUGUUCGACCAUUAAAAUUCUACGUGAUCUGAGUUCAGACCGG